rnacentral:hammerhead_ribozyme from 1 species
AUUCAGCUGACGAGUCCGAAACAGGCCAAAACGCGCGUCCUGCAU